UAGGGAAUCUUCGGCAAUGGGGGGAACCCUGACCGAGCAACGCCGCGUGAGUGAAGAAGGUUUUCGGAUCGUAAAGCUCUGUUGUUAAGGAAGAACGAGUGUGAGAAUGGAAAGUUCAUGCUGUGACGGUACUUAACCAGAAAGGGACGGCUAACUACGUGCCAGCAGCCGCGGUAAUACGUAGGUCCCGAGCGUUGUCCGGAUUUAUUGGCGUAAAGCGAGCGCAGGCGGUUAGAUAAGUCUGAAGUUAAAGGCAGUGGCUCAACCAUUGUAGGCUUUGGAAACUGUUUAACUUGAGUGCAGAAGGGGAGAGUGGAAUUCCAGGUGUAGCGGUGAAAUGCGUAGAUAUAUGGAGGAACACCGGUGGCGAAAGCGGCUCUCUGGUCUGUAACUGACGCUGAGGCUCGAAAGCGUGGGGAGCGAACAGG
rnacentral:rRNA from 1 species